UGUAAAAUGGCUAGCUAGUUUGCGGGAUCAGGGCGAGGGGACGGACGUAAAGUCUAUACUGUUACACUGACAUAAGCGCAGUUGACACCAUCGAGACUGGAAAAACACCAGGAAAUCAGCUCCGAUUUGAUUUCAUUGAAGAAUCUAUUCAUGUAUUCCCAUGCAAAAGAGACACCUGAUCAUAUACAAAUGAUAGUGAAAUGAGGGUGAAGUCCAGGCACCAAAAGAAAAGUACUAUCCGGUGAAACACUUCCAUUUUCUCUGUGCUAUGGUUUUUGGUUUGUUAACUUCACCAUUUUUUUUUAAGCUGCACUCACAUUCUACACAUGGUGCAUUUCUUUAUAAUAUUUUCUGAGGGGGUAGGCAUGCUCUACAUGGCCUUCUAGGAUGCAAUCAAAGGCCCUCGAUCUAAGUAAGAGGACUCUUAGUCCUUACACAAUGCCAGUUUUUGCCCAGAGACUGCUACGUUUUUUUGUCAAUUACUGUAUGUCCUCCAUUUCUGUUAUUCCAAUCUAUAAGGUGAUGACGUACUUGGUUUUGGUGGCUUUUAGUCUUGCUAGACAUGCUUACUUUGCGUUUGCCAGUUGUUUUUUUGUUGAUUUUGACAGCUUCUUUUCCAGGAGCUGUAUUCUCUUAUUAAAGUAACAUCUGUAUGAGAUUAACUUUGUGAUAUUUUUGUUACAAUGUGUGUGCAAUUAAUCACUGUGGGAAUAUUAUUAUACUAUAGACCUCCUUCAAUUGGAUGAUGGCCUCCUCCUGCAUGACACCUGUGCUACAUGCUGCUUCCUGUAUGCUUGUGAGGAAGACUCCUUCCGCCACCUCUGUCACCUGAGCCGCCUCCUGUAUGCUUCUGAGGAAGCCUUCUGCCAUCUGUCACCUGACAGACCACCUCCUGCAGACAACCUGAACUAAAUUCAGCAUCUGCUGCUUCCUCUGCUGGAGCUGGGACUACGCUCUCCUUCACUCUCUUGUUCUCUCUUUCUCAUGUUAAACUCCUACGUCUUCUUCCCUAUCCUCUACUUAAAAAAUAGACAAUUCAAGACUUUAAACCUGUUGAUAUAAAACAAUAACGAUGUACCUUUAAUUGCUUUGUGGUUGACUUAUUUUUCUACUUCGCUGUGCAUCUGUUGCAGAUUGAGGGGGUGGAUUCAUGCAAUUUAUUCUGGUAGGUACUGCCUUGGAGGACAGUGUCUUUCGUGAACCCUGUUGAAAGACAUUUUUUACCAGAAAGGAAUCAUGUGACUGAAAUUUAUUUUAUUGACAAAGAUGGGCAAUAAUCAGAGUAAAACACACUUCUAAGUGCUCCUCGCAGAGAGCGUAACCUCCUUUCUUCAGGCCCUCAAAGGACUUCUGCAGACUGAUGUCCCUACACCUGAUGUUUCUCAGCCACAUCUUCCUCCUGAGUAAUUACAGAAGUGUGUAAAGGUUUAAUCUCACAUUUUAUUAAAUUCAGCUGGAUGUUCGUCUAUGCUUAAGGUUUCCUGUUUUAUAGUUAAUUUAGUAGUGUAGUGGUUGCUAUGCUGUGGUAGUAUAUUGUAGUUUAUAGAUAGUUUAUGGUUAUGUCCUCUAUCCCUGUUAUUCACCCUCAUUUAAAAUAUAUAUAUAUUUAAACAGCAGCCAUGUCAUUUUUCUCUCUGUGAGAGGAGUGUGACAGACUCCAGAAGUCAUAAGAAAGGCAAUCUUUCUUGCUACUUCUGUGACCAGUACCCAAAUGAGGACCUUACAUUCUUACUGAUCAUGUCCUGCUAUAGUUAGUAGUGUAAAUAGAUUCAUCCCUGUAGUCUGCAGACUUCUGGGGGCUAUGGUCACACUCCUCUUCAAUCAAAACAGACACUUCUCUCUGUGAGAAACUACCUUAACAACCAUUGCCUGAUUAGCAACACCCCCAUUAUCCAUCUGUGGCACAACGUUGUUCUUUGAUGAGGUUUAACAGCUGUUGGCAUCCAAUAAAUGUUGCAUU